rnacentral:tRNA from 1 species
UUAAGGAAAGUAUAAAAUUUUACAUUUCAGUUACAUUGAAAAAAUUCUUAGUAAAAGGUCCUUAUA